GAACGCUGGCGGCGUGCCUAAUACAUGCAAGUCGAGCGAACGGACGAGAAGCUUGCUUCUCUGAUGUUAGCGGCGGACGGGUGAGUAACACGUGGAUAACCUACCUAUAAGACUGGGAUAACUUCGGGAAACCGGAGCUAAUACCGGAUAAUAUUUUGAACCGCAUGGUUCAAAAGUGAAAGACGGUCUUGCUGUCACUUAUAGAUGGAUCCGCGCUGCAUUAGCUAGUUGGUAAGGUAACGGCUUACCAAGGCAACGAUGCAUAGCCGACCUGAGAGGGUGAUCGGCCACACUGGAACUGAGACACGGUCCAGACUCCUACGGGAGGCAGCAGUAGGGAAUCUUCCGCAAUGGGCGAAAGCCUGACGGAGCAACGCCGCGUGAGUGAUGAAGGUCUUCGGAUCGUAAAACUCUGUUAUUAGGGAAGAACAUAUGUGUAAGUAACUGUGCACAUCUUGACGGUACCUAAUCAGAAAGCCACGGCUAACUACGUGCCAGCAGCCGCGGUAAUACGUAGGUGGCAAGCGUUAUCCGGAAUUAUUGGGCGUAAAGCGCGCGUAGGCGGUUUUUUAAGUCUGAUGUGAAAGCCCACGGCUCAACCGUGGAGGGUCAUUGGAAACUGGAAAACUUGAGUGCAGAAGAGGAAAGUGGAAUUCCAUGUGUAGCGGUGAAAUGCGCAGAGAUAUGGAGGAACACCAGUGGCGAAGGCGACUUUCUGGUCUGUAACUGACGCUGAUGUGCGAAAGCGUGGGGAUCAAACAGGAUUAGAUACCCUGGUAGUCCACGCCGUAAACGAUGAGUGCUAAGUGUUAGGGGGUUUCCGCCCCUUAGUGCUGCAGCUAACGCAUUAAGCACUCCGCCUGGGGAGUACGACCGCAAGGUUGAAACUCAAAGGAAUUGACGGGGACCCGCACAAGCGGUGGAGCAUGUGGUUUAAUUCGAAGCAACGCGAAGAACCUUACCAAAUCUUGACAUCCUUUGACAACUCUAGAGAUAGAGCCUUCCCCUUCGGGGGACAAAGUGACAGGUGGUGCAUGGUUGUCGUCAGCUCGUGUCGUGAGAUGUUGGGUUAAGUCCCGCAACGAGCGCAACCCUUAAGCUUAGUUGCCAUCAUUAAGUUGGGCACUCUAAGUUGACUGCCGGUGACAAACCGGAGGAAGGUGGGGAUGACGUCAAAUCAUCAUGCCCCUUAUGAUUUGGGCUACACACGUGCUACAAUGGACAAUACAAAGGGCAGCGAAACCGCGAGGUCAAGCAAAUCCCAUAAAGUUGUUCUCAGUUCGGAUUGUAGUCUGCAACUCGACUACAUGAAGCUGGAAUCGCUAGUAAUCGUAGAUCAGCAUGCUACGGUGAAUACGUUCCCGGGUCUUGUACACACCGCCCGUCACACCACGAGAGUUUGUAACACCCGAAGCCGGUGGAGUAACCUUUUAGGAGCUAGCCGUCGAAGGUGGGACAAAUA
rnacentral:rRNA from 1 species